rnacentral:lncRNA from 1 species
ACUGUCUGAUGACGUCAUGCUCCCACGACGUUAAUUCUUUAAUGGAACUUGUGUUGUCCCUUUUCAAACAUUACUCAAGGGUGUUCUAUUAAAAUCCCACAGAGAAAUGGGUAUUGUGUUCUACAAAGCCUAUUUGAAGUAUGUUGGCUUUUAGUUUUUGGGUACCGAUUGAAUAGUGACUGUUGUGAACAAAAACUAAAAAAACUGCUGGGUGGCGCCCAUUGCUUUGAUCUUACCUUUUGUGUGUCUAUCAAUCGAAGGCGUGCAUUCCAUGCAUAUUACCCAUCUAGCAAUCAGAUCCUCCGUUGAAUAAACACAACGUAAUAUUAGAAAACAACUCAUUAAGCGUAGACUUUGCCUCAAAACUUUAAUAGUAUUCCCCACCCCCUCCCC